rnacentral:rRNA from 1 species
CACGUAGUUAGCCGUGGCUUUCUGAUUAGGUACCGUCAAGAUGUGCACAGUUACUUACACAUUUGUUCUUCCCUAAUAACAGAGUUUUACGAGCCGAAACCCUUCAUCACUCACGCGGCGUUGCUCCGUCAGGCUUUCGCCUAUUGCGGAAGAUUCCCUACUGCUGCCUCCCGUAGGAGUCUGGACCGUGUCUCAGUUCCAGUGUGGCCGAUCACCCUCUCAGGUCGGCUACGUAUCGUCGCCUUGGUAAGCCGUUACCUUACCAACUAGCUAAUACGGCGCGGGUCCAUCUAUAAGUGAUAGCAAAACCAUCUUUCACUUUAGAACCAUGCGGUUCUAAAUGUUAUCCGGUAUUAGCUCCGGUUUCCCGAAGUUAUCCCAGUCUUAUAGGUAGGUUACCCACGUGUUACUCACCCGUCCGCCGCUAACUUCAAAGGAGCAAGCUCCUUAUCUGUUCGCUCGACUUGCAUGUAUUAGGCACGCCGCCAGCGUUCAUCCUGAGCCAGGAUCAAACUCU